AAAACGUAUAGUUAGAAUAUAUGUCACCCAUAGUGGCACUCAGCAGUGAGCUAGAGCAGAUAUGUAUAAGAUAUAUCUGCAGCUAGAUAUAGCUAGAGAAGAUGAAUUCAGAUUAUGUCAGGAGCCUCAAGUCUUCCUUUGAGGGAGAACUCAGGCAAGCAGCAGACUUCAGUGGAAACUGCUGGAGUUCAAUAACUAUGUGAUGAUGAUUACCAGUAUUAUCAAUCUUGGCUGAUUGAUUUGAAAAAGUGAGUGAUUUGAAAAAGGAGACCUUUCAUUAACUGUACAGGAGGCUAUCCCUAUGGCAGAUACGUAUCAUACUCUGUCAAAUAUAAUGCAAUUUGUCAAGUCUUAUGUUGCAAAUUAUGAUAUCUGCUUGAAACCCUAUUCGCAAGCAGCCAGCUGGCAAGUGCAUUGCACACUGGCCCAUCUUUUACCACAGUAACAGGAUCAUCCACAGAAGAAGCUUUUUUGUCCCUAUAGUGAAAGAAGAAAUGACCUCAUAUGAAUAAAGCCUCUAUCUGACCUGGAAUUUUAACAGUGGGAUAGAGAAAAGAAAAUACUUCUCUGGAAUCAACCAGAAAUGAUAGACCUCUGCUACUCCUAUGUUCAACUCAGACUGUGGAACAGGUGUGAUUACACCUCAGAAAUGAUGGUGAAGGAAUACAAGGAAAGGUUCUGAAAUACAAGGAAAUACAAGGAAUACAAGGAAAAUACAAGGAAAAAGGUUCUGAAAGUUAUUAUUAUGGAGAGGACUGCGAUCUACCUAACAAGAGGAUUGCCAGGACUAGCUGCCUUCUGGACCAGCUCUACAGAUUACCGGCUUCAGCAUCUUUCUGAAUGAGUUCCUGAGAGUUCAGAUGUCCACAGUGUCUUGGCUAUCUCUGCAGUACAAAAUCAGUUUCCCCUCUAGAUGGUAGAAGAGAACAAACUCCAAGGUACUCAUACUGCGAAAACUGGGAUGACAGUAGAGAAAAACAUUGUUGCCUGUGAAAGUAUACUGCAAAGAAGCUGAAAAGUCAUGCUACCUGAAAUUAACUUCUGGAUGUCCCGAUGGUUCCUAACUUGGAUAAACUUGCAACUAGAAUUUUGGAAUUUUUUUUAUGAAAAUCUUUCAGUGACUAUGAUUUGCUUUUACAUGAGUCUAUUCAUGCCCUUUCUUCGAACUACAAAAUUUAUUUAUUUGUUUGUUUGUUUGUUUAUUUAUUUAUUUAUUUGCUCCUUAAUAUAAAGCAUUACUUUGGUAGUUCUGGACAUCUGCUGUUUUCUUUAUUAUAUUCUUCUCUUGAUUUCCUUAAAUGCAGUUUAAGCUGGACUGAAAUCGACACUCAUCCAAUAAUAAUUGCAUAGGUCCUGAGGUAUUUCCAUGAGCCCUUAUGUUUCUCGUAUUACUUAUAAGUAAUUAAUUCUUACAAAACUUCAACUUAUGCAAUUUCUUAUUUUGUAAAUCACAAACCUUCUAAGUUUGUUGUUUCAAGCUGUAUUACUUACAGACUCUGCUCUCAAAAUAUUCCUCAGUAAACAGUAGCAAAGGUCACAAAAAGAUCUGAUAUAAAC
ensembl:lncRNA